AAAUUGAAGAGUUUGAUCAUGGCUCAGAUUGAACGCUGGCGGCAGGCCUAACACAUGCAAGUCGAACGGUAACAGGAAUCAGCUUGCUGAUUUGCUGACGAGUGGCGGACGGGUGAGUAAUGUCUGGGAAACUGCCUGAUGGAGGGGGAUAACUACUGGAAACGGUAGCUAAUACCGCAUAACG
rnacentral:rRNA from 1 species